UACGUAGGGGGCGAGCGUUGUCCGGAUUUAUUGGGCGUAAAGAGCGUGUAGGCGGCCAGGUAGGUCUGCUGUGAAAACUCGAGGCUCAACCUCGAGACGUCGGCGGAAACCAUCUGGCUAGAGUCCGGAAGAGGAGAGUGGAAUUCCUGGUGUAGCGGUGAAAUGCGCAGAUAUCAGGAAGAACACCAGUGGCGAAGGCGGCUCACUGGUCCGGUACUGACGCUGAGGUGCGAAAGCGUGGGGAGCAAACAGG
rnacentral:rRNA from 1 species